GGAGUUAGCCGGUGCUUCUUCUGCGAGUAACGUCACAGAUGUAAGGUAUUAACUUACACCCUUUCCUCCUCGCUGAAAGUGCUUUACAACCCGAAGGCCUUCUUCACACACGCGGCAUGGCUGCAUCAGGGUUUCCCCCAUUGUGCAAUAUUCCCCACUGCUGCCUCCCGUAGGAGUCUGGGCCGUGUCUCAGUCCCAGUGUGUCUGAUCAUCCUCUCAGACCAGCUAGGGAUCGUCGCCUAGGUGAGCCUUUACCUCACCUACUAGCUAAUCCCACCUGGGCUUAUCCAUCAGCGCAAGGCCCGAAGGUCCCCUGCUUUCCCCCGUAGGGCGUAUGCGGUAUUAGCAGUCGUUUCCAACUGUUAUCCCCACAACUGGGCAAAUUCCCAGGCAUUACUCACCCGUCCGCCGCUCGUCAUCUUCAAAGCAAGCUUUUGAAUGUUACCGCUCGACUUGCAUGUGUUAGGCCUGCCGCCAGCGUUCAAUCUGAGCCAUAAUCAAACUCUGA
rnacentral:rRNA from 1 species